UACGGGGGGAGCAAGCGUUGUUCGGAUUUACUGGGCGUAAAGGGCGCGUAGGCGGUCAGCACAAGUCAGUUGUGAAAUCUCCGGGCUUAACUCGGAAAGGUCAACUGAUACUGUGCGACUAGAGUGCAGAAGGGGCAACUGGAAUUCUCGGUGUAGCGGUGAAAUGCGUAGAUAUUGGGAAGAACACCAGUGGCGAAGGCGGCUCACUGGCCCGUAACUGACGCUGAGGUGCGAAAGCGUGGGGAGCAAACAGG
rnacentral:rRNA from 1 species